rnacentral:rRNA from 1 species
GACGAACGCUGGCGGCAGGCCUAACACAUGCAAGUCGAGCGGAGCGGCGGACGGGGGAGUAAUGCCUGGGAAUCUGCCUGGUCGUGGGGGAUAAAGUCCGGAAACGGGCGAUAAUACCGAAUACUUUCAAAUGAGCCUAGGUCGGAUGAGCUAGUUGGUGGGGUAAAGGACUACAAAGGCGACGAUCCGUAACUGGUCUGAGAGGAUGAUCAGUCACACGGGAACUGAGACACGGUCCAGACUCCUACGGGAGGCAGCAGUGGGGAAUAUUGGACAAUGGGCGAAAGCCUGAUCCAGCCAUGCCGCGUGUGUGAAGAAGGUCUUCGGAUUGUAAAGCACUUUAAGUUGGGAGGCGUUACCAACAGAAUAAGCACCGGCUAACUUCGUGCCAGCAGCCGCGGUAAUAC